CCCUUAGAUGUUCUGGGCCGCACGCGCGCUACACUGACGAAGUCAGCGAGCAUGUCCUACGCCGACAGGUGCGGGGAAUCUUGUCAAACUUCGUCGUGAUGGGGAUUGAUUAUUGAAAUUCUUGAUCAUCAACGAGGAAUUCCUAGUAAGCGCAAGUCAGCAGCUUGCGUUGAUUACGUCCCUGCCCUUUGUACACACCGCCCGUCGCUACUACCGAUUGAAUGGUUUAGUGAGAUCUUCGGAUUGGCGCCACUGCGGCUCAGCAAUGGGCUCGGUGGAUGCCGAAAAGUUGAUCAAACUUGAUCAUUAGAGGAAGUAAAAGUCGUAACA
rnacentral:rRNA from 1 species